rnacentral:rRNA from 1 species
UGGGGAAUUUUGCACAAUGGGCGCAAGCCUGAUGCAGCGACGCCGCGUGAGGGAUGAAGGCCUUCGGGUUGUAAACCUUUUUCGCUCAUGGUCAAGCCGCAGCUUUGGGUUGUGGUGAGGGUAGUGGGUAAAGAAGCGCCGGCUAACUACGUGCCAGCAGCCGCGGUAAUACGUAGGGCGCGAGCGUUGUCCGGAAUCAUUGGGCGUAAAGGGUACGUAGGCGGAUAAGCAAGUUAGAAGUGAAAUCCUAUAGCUCAACUAUAGUAAGCUUUUAAAACUGCUCAUCUUGAGGUAUGGAAGGGAAAGUGGAAUUCCUAGUGUAGCGGUGAAAUGCGCAGAUAUUAGGAGGAAUACCGGUGGCGAAGGCGACUUUCUGGCCAUAUACUGACGCUGAGGUACGAAAGCGUGGGUAGCAAACAGG